UAAUUAACAAUUAAUCAAUGCUAAUUUUUAAUGCAGGCAAGUUAUCUUCUAGAAAUAUUUACAACAACAGCUCGCUCAUAACAAUUAAUAUCAUUUGCAAGCUCUACAUUCUGGAACAUGUAUAGUUCCCCCUCACCCCUCCCCCUACAAUGUUGAAAAUCGGUUAUUUUGUCCCUGACAUAGGUUAGGGGAAAUGGGGGAUAUUUCAUCCAGCUUAAAUGUCCCAAUUACAUUUGUCCGGGAUUCUGAGUGAUGAGAAGAUCCAUCGGUGAUUGACGUGGAUUGUACCACAAUAAAUAUCACAGACGCCAUUUUUGUUCAUUCCUUGUAGUGGCUGACAUUUCAUUAGCAACAGUGCCUUUUUCAAUCGUAAGCUCAAGGUCAAAUAUCUCUCUAGGUUUGGAAAUUUCAUUUCAGUGUCUUCUUAAUUCUAAUUUGAACUUCAAAUUAAAAAUACGACAUGAAAUACUCAUUUGCUGAUACCUUCUCAGCCAACAAAUAGUAAGUAAGUAAGUAAGUAAAGACUUUAUUUAAAGAGGGUAGCACUAAAAUAGUAUAAAAAUACCAACAAACCAGUGGCCCUCUAAAAGUUAUGUACGAUACGUAUGUUAAAACUAUGCCAUAACUAUGAUAUAACAUAAUAUAACGAAUAAAAAUACAAUAGAUAAGAUAUAAAAUCAAUUAAAAAUACAAAAAGUAUAACUAAAUCACAGAAUAAAAUGAUUUAAAAGCUGCUGUUCUUCAAAAAAUUUUUUCCAAAGAGAGUUCCUAAAAGAAUUAAGCGACGCUAUUUUCCGCAUUGAUAGCGGUAAGCCGUUCCAGGCUUGACAGGCAGUCACAGUAAAUGUUCUUCCUCCUUCAAUUUUACGUUUGAUAACAGGGCGAGCAAUAUUGAAGUUGCCAUACCUAGUCUGCCGUGAAUGAGUGUCGCUAGUAAGCUUAAGUAAACUUUUACGAUAGAUAACACGAAUGCUGUUUACUCAGGCUCCGCAGACCAUGCUCUAUUCAUCAGUACAAAUUAACUAAACAUCUAUUAUUUACUUUUCUGUCCUUUUGUAGUCCGAUUUGGGCUUUCCAGAAGUUCAUUACUCAAUUAACUAAGUCCAUGUUAAGGAUAAUGCACUUCCGAUCUUUUCUCAUUUUGACACAUCCCGUUGCGGCUUCCAUUUGCCACCGUAGUACUUCAUUUGUGUUUUUUAUAGCUUUGUAAAUCAAUUAGUUGCCAUUUUACUCGACGCGACUAAGAUCACUUUGUAAGUAACAAAUCACAAAAACAAAAUACCUUUCAUCGUCGAGUUUGUGAAAAAAAAUAAACAUCUGCCAUCUUGUUCCAUUGUUCAUGUAAACGUUUCAAAGAUUAGAGAGUUCUUUAGCUUCUUCAUUCGCAUCUUAUUGCUGCUAAAGGUAUUUAAAUUUAACGCAGCGAUACAUGUUAUAGAUAACUCUCGUCACAGCUUUAUUUUGUUAGUUCUCUUGCAGCCAUUUGAGCGGUAUAGCCGGCUUGAGUUUUAGAGAAGAAUUAUUCGUUGUUACAGUUUUCCUCAUAUUUUGUCAUACGCGCCUCUUCAAACUUGCACUAUCUGUGAAGAAUCCAUUGUUGCAUUUCCAUUUUCCUUGCCGUUAGCUUUCAAUUCUCCAUUUCUAAGAUCUCCACAACAUCCCACAUCGCCCUCAGCGGUGCACAGAUAUUCAUGGCAGCAGGUAAAAUACAGACACAGGUAAACGCCACCAAAGCAAAAUAACACAAUUAUCAGCAUGCCUACGAAGGAAAACUCGGCAUCGAAGAUUCCAUUGUCCUGUCCAUGAACGAAUUCAGUUCCUGUGAUCAGAGCCAGAAGAGCAAUGAUUUUCCAAUGCAUAAUUCGUUAGGAUUAGUAAAUCUCUUGUUUUGUUCUAGCGCUGAGGUCAGGAUAACAGAACAUUCCUCAGAACAAUUUGUCACCUGAUAAGGGAGCUAUAGAUAACCCGUGGGCACUCCGUCGCAAAACAUGGAUCGAUCUCAGCGGCUUCAAAAGGUAUAUGGCUUUGAGCUGUUUUAGUUUGAAAUAGGGCAUAGAAAUCACUUAAUCAUUCAAUGAAACUACAUUUCCCAUUAAAAUCGAGUGAUUUCGAGCCCUUCCGAUAUGUUUGACGCAUUGUUACCCAAAUCCAUUCUUAAUUAACCAAGGACCCACUAAGGCAUGAUGUAUGUCAGGUAUAAGAGAAGCAUAUAAUAGUUUUAGAGGUCUGAAAUGGGCUAUUGAUUUUUCGGUCAGGUCUGAAAAUAGGAUUUCGAAAAUCAGUCAUCUUUUUAUGACAUAGCCUAUUCAAGUCUAUUCGUCAUAGUGUCACGCUUUUCGGCAAUGAUUCAGAUUUGUCAAGAGAGAAUGAUCUGUCAUAUUGUAUUAACUUUCGAUAUUUUCAUUUUUUCAGCGUUUUUAAUUACUCUUUUGAAGAGACAACACGGUAGCUUAGUUUUCCUCUGGCUAAAAGAACUAUUUUGUGUGCGGUAAUUCCUAGCAUCUAUUUUCUUUCGGAAGUUUCUUAUGGAUUUGUUAAACAUAGCCACAUUAAAGAAGCACAGUCUGCGAAUGAAUUACUAGACGUUUUAAUGAGGACUUACUUUUUUAUCCAUCAUGGAAAGAAGGAAAGAAAUUGAAUAUCAAGACACUUGAUGAAAUUAGGAGUGGACUGAAAGGAUGUAGGACUGUAGCUAGUAACAAGCACUUGUCUUAGUCAUAUUUUUUGCGGAAUCCCAGUGUUGUUGUAGUCAUCAUAAACACACUUACUGACCUAGGAAGGGAAUUUAACCAUGGACAUUGUCUCAUUCAUAUUUUUUUCUCGAUCAGUAACCGUGGACAUCAUGCCUCAGUCAUAAUUUUUUUCUUUUUCUGGCUACGGCCUAGGCUAAAGGACGUUGUUGGAAGAACAGCGGGAUUGUAAUAGCGGUCUGGAUGAAUGACCUUUCUGACUAAUCUUUUGAUCAGGAGGUGCAAGCAUAGCCUCCUACGCGCACGCGGACGUCCUUAUGGUUAGUCGAGUCACGCAUUGUUUCCACCCCAUGUUCAUUCAAUCUGGGUAACGAAGAUUGCGUGAAUAUAACCAUAAGAAUGUCUGCUCAGGAGGCUAUGGUGGAAGCAAAGCUUUCAGACCACAACUGAGUACGAAUCUUGGAAUGGACUGCCUUUUGUGGGGGAUGGGGGAGGGGGACUAAUCAAUCUCGAGCAAAUCUUGAGCACGUAUUAAGAAUUUAGUGGAUACUUACUAGCCCAGUUAAUUAAUCUAGCCUGCGUAGCCGGCCUUUAUUUUCAAAUGCACGCAAAAGGAAUUAAACCGCGAGCGAGCGCGAAAAAAUAUGAGGGGGCAGGGGGAGGGGGUGGGGCAAGUCGCUCGCUAAUUCGAUCCCCCGCCUGGGAAAUGAAAAGGAAAGGUCUACUACGCAGGCUACAGUUAAUCUGAAGUUAGUUAUUACCUACGUAAGGAGUUAAUUAUAAUUUUGUCACAGCAUUAACCUAAUCAAACAUUUCAAAACCAAAGCAAACAAAACAACUGUGACUUUAAUUAAUCCAACUUGAUAAGUAAAAGAUUCAUAAUUUUGCACCAAUGGAUCAACUGUUCAUCAAUACAGUUGGCGCUUAGGGCGAUCUUGAACCUUUGGUUAAAGUACAAAGGAAAACCGGUAAACUUGGAUUACUGUACCACUGACAGUGAAAACUAAACAAGUGCUGCAUCAAACUGGUAUUGACCGCGACACCGUGCAAAUACUCACCAUACAUUGUACACUUCGUACAUACCUUCCCGGUGAGCCGUCAACUAAGGACCAAGGGCAAACUGGAAGCAAGCCUUUUACAAAAUGAUGAAAAAGAUUGGCCACAGUCGCGCGGUGUAUGAAAUCAACUUAUCCAAAGAUCAUGGGUCUGUUCCUGGGUCGACUCCCACAGGUGACACCAAAGUGAGGCGGCAAGAAGAAAUGCCCAUUCCAUUGAAAACCGCGAGCCCACGAAAAGAGGAAGAACCAAAGUUUAAAUUUACCAAGUUCCCAGUACGCAAUCAAGAGGCAAAGAGCUCUGAGGAGCCGUGUACUGCUCCUACUCAAGUUAAAUGACAUUUUUUAUGUUUACAUCCUGUCCAAAUUAAGCUACAUUUCAAAUGCUAAAAAAAAAUUGAGUGAAUGCUGUAUACUGUCUUGCUGACGCCUGUUUUUUUCCUUGCCCCAGUCUGAAUUUGAUGUAUGAUGAUAAACUCUAGUUACACGUUCAGGUAUUUCUCUUCAAUAUUUUUCGAGGGAAUAAUUUUGAGGGGGAGCAGGGGAGGAGGAUUUAAGGGGAGGAGGACGUGGCGUCUUUCAAAUCAGUGACUAGCACGUAUAGAAUAUGUGACAGGCCUGAAUAAAUGUUUAUUAUCUCAAACAAAGAAACAAUAAAAGAUAAAUGUUAUGCAUUCAGUAUUAAUAAGCCUCGACGCAUAGUUAUCUCGAAAUAAAAGUUUUAAUUCCUGGU
rnacentral:lncRNA from 1 species